AGCCCCUUAUUUUCCUGCUGGAAUCAAUAUCCCAUCAACUUCACCAACUGUCUACUCCCUGAUCUAUGAGAUGGUGCUAGCACAGGAAAACCAGUGAGUGCUGUCAGGAAAAUACGGCCAGGAUUUACUGCUGCUUCAGGAGGCCCAGCAUUAAGCCAGAGGGACGCCCAGCACCCCAAACCUACUCCUAGCUGCUGCCUCUGAAACUCGAACCUGUAAUUUGACCACACGGCCAGCCUUCUGUAACCAGUAAUCAGCAUCUGUAGGCCCCUGGCACUGGGACAAGGGACUCUGCAGGGGGGUGCAGGACGCCAGGAUGGAGAGUGGAACAGCCACACCAACACCAGGCCUCAGAACCAAACUGAGCCACGUCCUUGCUGAUGUGCUUUGCUUUUUUUCAAGGUGACUCUGAGGAAAGUCAGGCUGUCACAAAUAGCACCUGUUACCAAUCUAACAGAGGGUCCAUCGUGGAGGCCUGGGGGGAGCCAGGGUGCGUUUGAGAUAGUAUCUGUCCACUUCCUCUGUCAU